rnacentral:lncRNA from 1 species
UCGUUUAUGGGUUCAACUGUGAGAUGCUCUUCUAUAACGGAAUCCACAGAGACAAGGUCAUCCACAAUGGUCAUCAUGAUCUGCAAUUUCUUUAUCCCAUAACCAACUGGAGCCAAUUUUGCUGCAACAAAUCCAUAGCACAACUAUUAACCAAGCAUUCAGUUGUCAAGGUCAGCAUAAGAAUAUAAGAAUGGUCAAUUUCGGUUUGAAGGGGGGAAAAAGGGUGUUUAAAUUAAUAAUCAAACCAUACAUGCUCCCCACAAGAGGCCUGGCAUCUCAAUACUGCGAACAGCCUCUUCCAGCUUCUUCAUGUCUGUCUCAUCAUCCCAAGGUUUCACAUCCAAAAGAACAGACGAUUUUCCAC